UGUUCUGUCUUUGUUGCCUCUGUCAGAGGUUGUGCAUAAUUUGUGAUGGACAUUCGCAUGUAUAAACAUUAUAUUUUUAUGAUUGCUUAAUAUUCUUUAUAAGUUUUAUUUUAUCUGCCGCUAUUAUGCAAGUUCCUAUGUGAGGACUUUUAUUUUGACGUGCUUCCACGAGCACCGCACAUUGGGUAACAGGAAAUAGCGAGCUUAUGGUGUAGCAAACGCUUAACAUGUUUUUGUUGCAUCUGAUUUGAUCAUCCUUCUAAACCCUGUCGAAAGCGAUGGCUUUUUACUCGGUUCAGUGGCUGUUGAGAUUGCCUGUGUAAACCACACAAUGGAAUAUUAAAGGAGCAAGGCGCUCAUACCCUGGCUCUUGAACAGAGUUUGGCUUGCUGUUUAUUUAUAUUUCACGCUUGGAAAGCAAAACAUAUGAAGAGAACAGUAUAGU